GAUGAACGCUGGCGGCGGGCCUAAUACAUGCAAGUCGAGCGAACAGACGAGGAGCUUGCUCCUCUGACGUUAGCGGCGGACGGGUGAGUAACACGUGGAUAACCUACCUAUAAUACUGGGAGAACUUCGGGAAACCGGAGCUAAUACCGGAUAACAUGUUGAACCGCAUGGUUCAACAGUGAAAGACGGUCUUGCUGUCACUUAUAGAUGGAUCCGCGCCGCAUUAGCUAGUUGGUAAGGUAACGGCCUACCAAGGCAACGAUGCGUAGCCGACCUGAGAGGGUGAUCGGCCACACUGGAACUGAGACACGGUCCAGACUCCUACGGGAGGCAGCAGUAGGGAAUCUUCCGCAAUGGGCGAAAGCCUGACGGAGCAACGCCGCGUGAGUGAAGAAGGUCUUCGGAUCGUAAAACUCUGUUAUUAGGGAAGAACAACUGUGUAAGUAACUAUGCACGUCUUGACGGUACCUAAUCAGAAAGCCACGGCUAACUACGUG
rnacentral:rRNA from 1 species